AUGCAGUGAUGAUACCAAUCUUGGUUUCGCUUUUUUGCUGAAUUCCAGUGAAGACGCAUUUCUCUUGGCUGUCUGAGCAU